rnacentral:rRNA from 1 species
AUUACGGCGGGGUCCCACCUGUUCCCAUCCCGAACACAGUAGUUAAGCCCGUCCCGUGCCUACAAUACUUGGCGGGUGACCGCCUGGAAAGAUCGGUUGCGCCGGCA